UGGGGGAUAUUGCACAAUGGGCGAAAGCCUGAUGCAGCGACGCCGCGUGGGGGAUGAAGGCCUUCGGGUUGUAAACUUCUUUUGCCCUGAACAAGGCAUGCCUUUGGGGUGUGUUGAGUGUAGGGGUUGAUUAGCGCCGGCUAACUACGUGCCAGCAGCCGCGGUAAUACGUAGGGCGCGAGCGUUGUCCGGAAUUAUUGGGCGUAAAGGGCUUGUAGGUGGCUGGUUGCGUCGGUCGUGAAAGCUCAUGGCUUAACUGUGGGUUUGCGGUGGGUACGGGCUGGCGUGAGUGCAGUAGGGGAGGCUGGAAUUCCUGGUGUAGCGGUGGAAUGCGCAGAUAUCAGGAGGAAUACCGGUGGCGAAGGCGGGUGUCUGGGCUGUUACUGACGCUGAGGAGCGAAAGCGUGGGGAGCGAACAGG
rnacentral:rRNA from 1 species